GGUGAGUAACGCGUGGGUAACCUGCCUCACACACGGUGAUAACAGUUGGAAACGGCUGCUAAUACCGCAUAAGCGCACAGUACCGCAUGGUACAGUGUGAAAAACUCCGGUGGUGUGAGAUGGACCCGCGUCUGAUUAGCUAGUUGGCAGGGCAACGGCCUACCAAGGCGACGAUCAGUAGCCGACCUGAGAGGGUGACCGGCCACAUUGGGACUGAGACACGGCCCAAACUCCUACGGGAGGCAGCAGUGGGGAAUAUUGCACAAUGGGGGAAACCCUGAUGCAGCAACGCCGCGUGAGUGAAGAAGUAUCUCGGUAUGUAAAGCUCUAUCAGCAGGGAAGAAAAUGACGGUACCUGAUUAAGAAGCCCCGGCUAACUACGUGCCAGCAGCCGCGGUAAUACGUAGGGGGCAAGCGUUAUCCGGAAUUACUGGGUGUAAAGGGUGCGUAGGUGGUAUGGCAAGUCAGAAGUGAAAACCCAGGGCUUAACUCUGGGACUGCUUUUGAAACUGUCAGACUAGAGUGCAGGAGAGGUAAGCGGAAUUCCUAGUGUAGCGGUGAAAUGCGUAGAUAUUAGGAGGAACAUCAGUGGCGAAGGCGGCUUACUGGACUGAAACUGACACUGAGGCACGAAAGCGUGGGGAGCAAACAGGAUUAGAUACCCUGGUAGUCCACGCCGU
rnacentral:rRNA from 1 species